CAUAGCGACUAUCGUGGCAUAUCAAUAAGCGGAGGAAAAGAAACUAACAAGGAUUCCCUUAGUAACGGCGAGUGAAGCGGGAAGAGCUCAAAUUCGAAAUCUUCAAGGUUUUACCUUGACGAAUUGUAGUUUAAAGAAGUGUUUUCUGUUGGAGUUUUGGUAAAAGUUCUUUGGAAUAGGACAUCAUAGAGGGUGAGAAUCCCGUAUUUGACCAUUAUUUCCAGCUGUGUGAUACACUUUCCAAAGAGUCGGAUUGUUUGGGAAUGCAGUCCAAAAUGGGUGGUGAAUUUCAUCUAAAGCUAAAUAUUGGCGAGAGACCGAUAGCGAACAAGUACCGUGAGGGAAAGAUGAAAAGAACUUUGAAAAGAGAGCUAAACAGUACGUGAAAUUGUCAAAAGGGAAGCGUUUGACACCAGUGUCGUUUUCUCGAAAAUCAAUUAAAAAUGAUGGGAUUUUGUGUUGUAUUGACUUUAUCAGCUUUCUGCACUUUUUUCUUAUCUUUUUUAAUGCACUUUUCGUUUAACAAGUCAACAUCAAUUUCUUUUGUUGUAAAAGAGUCAUUGGAAGGUGGCUUUUUCUUCGGAAAAAGUGUUUAUAGCCUUUGGCUUCUACAAUCGGAGAGAUUGAGGUCUGCAGCGUAGAUCCUUCGGGGUUAGAUACAUUUGUGCUAAGCUAUAGUUCUUUAUAGACAACUUGUUGACUAUAAUCAAUCCUGUAACUUACUCGCUUAUGCUAUUUUACCUACGCUUAGGAUGUUGAUAGUCACAGCGUGUAC
rnacentral:rRNA from 1 species